GACGGGUAACGGAGAAUUAGGGUUUGAUUCCGGAGAGGGAGCCUGAGAAACGGCUACCACAUCUAAGGAAGGCAGCAGGGCGCCAAAUUAUCUCAUCCUGACACAGGGAGGUAGUGACAAGAAAUACCAGUGUGAGGGCUUCUGUCUUGGAAUUGGAAUGAGAACAAUUUAAAUCCCUUACCGAGUAUCAAUUGGAGGGCAAGUCUGGUGGCCGCAGCCGCGGUAAUUCCAGCUCCAUAGCGUAUAUUAAAGUUGUUGCGGUUAAAAAGCUCGUAGUUGGAGUUCUGCCAGGUGACGCUCGUCCGCC
rnacentral:rRNA from 1 species